rnacentral:rRNA from 1 species
GACGAACGCUGGCGGCGUGCUUAACACAUGCAAGUCGAACGGAAAGGCCCUGCUUUUGUGGGGGGCUCGAGUGGCGAACGGGUGAGGAACACGUGAGUAACCUGCCCUGGACUUUGGGAUAACUUCAGGAAACUGGGGCUAAUACGGGAUAGGAGCUCCUGCUGCAGGGUGGGGGUUGGAAAGUUUCGGCGGUUGGGGAUGGACUCGCGGCUUAUCAGCUUGUUGGUGGGGUAGUGGCUUACCAAGGCUUUGACGGGUAGCCGGCCUGAGAGGGUGACCGGCCACAUUGGGACUGAGAUACGGCCCAGUCUCAUAAGGGAGGCAGCAGUGGGGAAUAUUGCACAAUGGGCGGAAGCCUGAUGCAGCAACGCCGCGUGCGGGAUGACGGCCUUCGGGUUGUAAACCGCUUUCGCCUGUGACGAAGCGUGAGUGACGGUAAUGGGUAAAGAAGCACCGGCUAACUACGUG